UUCGCAAUGCCCGAAAGGGUGACGAAGCGACGCCGCGUGCGGGAGGAAGGCCUUCGGGUUGUAAACCGCUGUCGGGAGUUAAGAAAUGCAAGGAUGUUAAUAGCGUUCUUGCUUGACUAAGACUCCGGAGGAAGCCACGGCUAACUCUGUGCCAGCAGCCGCGGUAAUACAGAGGCGGCAAGCGUUGUUCGGAAUUAUUGGGCGUAAAGAGCACGUAGGCGGCUGUGUAAGUCGGCUGUGAAAGCCUUCCGCUCAACGGAAGAACGGCAUCCGAUACUGCAUGGCUUGAGUGUGGGAGGGGAGAGUGGAACUUCUGGUGGAGCGGUGAAAUGCGUAGAUAUCAGAAGGAACACCGGCGGCGAAGGCGACUCUCUGGUCCAUAACUGACGCUGAGUGUGCGAAAGCUAGGGGAGCAAACGGGAUUAGAUACCCCGGUAGUCCUAGCCGUAAACGAUGGGCACUAAGUAGAGGGGUUUU
rnacentral:rRNA from 1 species